GAUCCCAGCCUUCUCUAUGUUUGCUGAGUCUAGCUGUGCAAGUCUUCAUUAUCUCCGGUAAUGGGUAUGGGUUCUUUCACCAACCCAUACUUGAUGGCUUUAUGGGGUUCUCUCCAAGAUUCAGGCUUUACAAGUUGCAAUCCUCAAGAGCUCUUACUCUUUAAAGUCCAAGUUUAAAUCAUGACCCAGAGGUCCUAGAACAGCACAGAGCACAUGGUGUUUUCUUUCCUACUACUUGUGUUCAGGGUUAUCACUCGUCAUGCUUAGGCACCACUGUGGCCUCACAGGAUGAAAGCUCCCUCCACUUACGUUCUCCUCUCUUGCUCGUGAAUUGUACUGUUUCUUUGCAGGUGAAUCUUAAGUAGGCCCUGAAAAGAGGAACUCAUGGUCAGAUUUCACCCUUGGCUCCCAAGUGAAUGACGCAGAACACCGUGGAAAGCCGUGUCAACACAAUCACUGUCACUAAUGAUUAUUUAUCCAGUUCCAACCCUGCUGCUCUUCUCUGCAGGCUGUGUGCUGGCGAGCGCUGCGUGGGUAACAAAUACGGGUCCCAAUGUCACGAAAACAGGACGACAGCCUUAUGCAAGUACCAAGAAGCUGAGGCUCCCUGCCGGUGGAGAGGGAACACCUGUGGGUGACUAGACCUCGUCAGUAAGAAGUCCGUGAGGUACGUAGCAGGGGAUACCUCCUUGGCUCGGUGGAACAGACAGAGAACCAGGGCCAGGAAGGGGGGGGGGGGCAGAAGAGGGAAGCAGUGAAAAAGCACACAGCAGCUCAGGGAGUGGAGAAGGGGCAAGAGGGGAGUGUGUCUGCGAGACAGGAGCACGUGGUGUGUCCUCCCUGGUCUAUGGGGAAUGUGUAGCCCAGGCUCCCAGGCACCCAGGCGCUGUGGGCAUUCUUCUUGGCCCUUGGGGAUAUGUGCUUUGUGUUCCCCUGCCAUGGGGGGUGCUGAUGGAGCCCUAAUGAGUAGAGGACACCCCUGGAGAAAGGCCAGGCAUUAGGAUGCAGUGGCUGCGGGGUGAGGCACCUGCUGGAGUUUGCAAAGCUGAGGAGCUGGAGCUGCUCGGGGAGGCUCCCCAUGUUUUGUACAAACAGUUCCUGCUCAUUUUUUCUGAAAGGCUGAUUUGAUCACAUGCUUGGAGCCUGCUCCUCUGAGGCCUAGGGAAGGCUGGAGACGCAGUGCUGUCUUCCCAAGACUCAUCUCCACCUGCUGCCUCUGAUUGCAUUUCCAGAGCCCUCCUCCUCCUCCUCCACCUCCUCCUCCUCCUCCACUUCCUCCUCCUGGUAGGCUGGAGCCAGCCAGGGCAGUGAUCCUGGACCCUCCUCUGUCCUGGUAACGCCUCCCGUGACAUCACUCCUGAACCACCCACUGCUCAGGACGUCCUGUGGCCCCAUGUCCCUGGGACACUUCUUGGAAUUCUCUGCCACCCUAAUUUCCUCUCUGUCACCCUAAUUUCCUCUCUGCCACCCUAAUUUCCUCUCUGCCACUUUUCACCCCAGUGCAUCUUAAUUGCCAAGAAUUAAGAUUUAGUAGCUGAGAGGCUGGCACUGUGGCUCAGUGGGUUAAAGCCCUGCCCUGAAGCGCCAGCAUCCCAUAUGGGUGCUGGUUCUAGGCCUGGCAGCUCCUCUUCUGAUCCAGCUCUCUGCUAUGGCCUAGGAAAGCAGUAGAAGACGGCCCAAGUCCUUGGGCCCCUGCACCCAUAUGGGAGACCCAGAAGAAGCUCCUGGCUCCUGGUUUCAGAUUGGCACAGCUCUGGCUGUUGCAGCCAUCUGGGGAGUGAACCAGAGGAUGGGAGACCUCUCUCUGUAACUCUGUCUUUCAAAUAAAUAAAAUAAAUCUUUCCA
ensembl:lncRNA